rnacentral:rRNA from 1 species
GACGAACGCUGGCGGCGUGCUUAACACAUGCAAGUCGAACGAUGAAGCCGGAGCUUGCUCUGGUGAAUUAGUGGCGAACGGGUGAGUAACACGUGAGUAACCUGCCCUUGACUCUGGGAUAACUGCUAGAAAUGGUAGCUAAUACCGGAUACGACCCUCGGAGGCAUCUCCAGGGGGUGGAAAGAAUUUCGGUCAAGGAUGGACUCGCGGCCUAUCAGCUAGUUGGUGAGGUAACGGCUCACCAAGGCGACGACGGGUAGCCGGCCUGAGAGGGUGAACGGCCACACUGGGACUGAGACACGGCCCAGACUCCUACGGGAGGCAGCAGUGGGGAAUAUUGCACAAUGGGCGCAAGCCUGAUGCAGCAACGCCGCGUGAGGGAUGACGGCCUUCGGGUUGUAAACCCCUUUUAGUAGGGAAGAAGCGAAAGUGACGGUACCUGCGGAAAAAGCACCGGCUAACUACGUGCCAGCAGCCGCAGUAA